GUUUGUUCCAGAGAGUCGGCCCAUAAUAAGUGAACGCACCUUCGCCAAAUUCACUUCUGAUCUUUGGUUCAGUUGGGAGACCGGUGUCUGACGAUUUGAAAGUUCUGAAGGUGAUGUUGUCCAGGUGAGUACUCUGGCUGCAGGAUUUCCCCACACUCGAAAAGACAAUCAGGAACACCUGAGCAAGCCUCAUCAGCUGAUGAAAGCUGCUGGGAAAAUAACAGUCCUAGAGUGAGUGUUUGACAACGUGAACAGCUUCAAUGACAUUGUGGCGUCUGGUUUGGUCCGGUGGGGCCGCGGCAGCCGGGGCCUGGUGCACGGUGAGCAGAUUGUGUCGUCCGUCGAGGGUGUCGCCGCUGACCGUCAUGGCGUCCAGGUGCUGACGAAGCAGGAGCCUCAGCUGCUGGUUUUCACGGCUCAAAUCGGCCUUCUGUUUCUUCAGAGCUUCCCGCUGCAGCACGGCAGCGUUAAUGCACCACGUCACCUGCCGCAACUCGGGUAUCUCCUACAGAUGGACACAAAGAGUGCAAGGUUGUGGCUCGUUCCUGAAAGCAGUCCAAAGUACCAGUCCAGACCUGCUAGAUGCUGAACUAGAAAGUCCAAGAAGAAAAGGUCCUGCUCUCUCCUGUCUGACGUCCUCUGCAGGGAAUACUGAUGAUAAGACUUGCUUCUCCUCGCUCUCCAGCUUGCGACACAUUUCGGCGACACGUAAAACCUUCUCACCCUGCAUCACCACAGUGAAAAUGAGUACAGAGAGGACACACAGGAGGAAAUACACAGUGGACAGACUGCAUGUGAGACGUUUCACCUUGGAGAUAACUGCCUGCAGUUUCUUGGCGGCCUUGUCGCUCUGGACGGUGAGGUCAGUCAGCUGUUUUCUGGCCGCUGUAUGAGCCUGAGUCAGCUGGUCCCGGAGCAUAUGAGUCUUCCUGUUUACCUUGUUUCUGGCAGCGUUCAGAUCUUGUUCCACCGACUGGUUUUCAAUCUUACUGUAGUUCAUCUUCGCCCUCAGCUGAAUGGCAAUAUCCUGAGAGAGAAAGGAAACAAGAUGGAGGCUUUGACUUAACCCUUUGAUGCUACGUUACACCAGGCUUUACGCCUCCUCGACUUGUCUCUGUUCUCUAACUUCUCAUCUGACUCUGGGGAAGAUUGGGGAUUUUAAGGAUUUCCCAGAAAUCCUUCAUGACAGCUAUCGGCUCCAUGAACAUCAGCUCUCUGAGCAUCUGAAACUGGACGGAAAACUCGUCUGUCUUUGGAAAUGGAUUAUAAAUUAGACAAACUUUCAUAAAACUGCUUCAUGAUGCAUUCGUUGGAAACACAAUUUAUUUUUUAUUUUUUUAAAGCUGGAAUCAGUUUCUUUGAAACGGUAUAAAGUGAAUUUGUUUUGUCCACUAGAGGGCAGCGUAACGAGCUGUAAACACUCUCAUACUGUAUUAUCAGCUUAUAAAAAGUUAACGUGUUAGCAACCAGCUGCCUGCUACCACAUCUAUCAGUUAUGCAGCAACAUGGUCAUCCAUCAGGAGACGUGUUUGUGUAACCUGAUGAUGAAUGUCCACUAUGUUCAGUGUCAUGUAGUAAUUGAGUUAGAAAUAUUGAUCUUGGUUCUCGCUUUAAAGGUAACCUAAUAUGCUGCAUUACCAGCCCUGUAAAGUAGCUUCGCAUGAUUCAAAGUUCAAAAAUCUUACACUGGCCCUUAACACAGAUAUGACCAUUCUGCCCCAUGGGACCUUUUAUUUCGGGGAAAAAUAGGUACAAUAGUCAACGGCAAGAGACAAAUUAUCUUGUUAGAAUUGUGCCCUGAAUUACACAAAUGAUGUUGGUCAAUUUUUAAUAUAAUUUAAGUCAAAGUUGUUGUUCAUAAAAACUAUACAGUAACAUUUUAGCUUUGGUCUGAAAACCGUCGGCAACAUGUUGGCGCGGUAAUGCUAGCUAACGCUCAUUGCUUGGUUGCUACUAGCUAGAUAACUUGUUCCAAGCAGAAAUAUCUCACCUGAUGAUGACAUGAUUCUGUCUUUUUAUCACAUCAUCUACACAUGGAAGCUUUUUGACGUUCGCUUCAGUAACGUUUCAGUCAUUGAGAGAAAAAGUUACGUGACUUUUGGGUUUGUGGACUUGGUAAUUAUGUAUUUUCAGUCUUAUACCUCAACAGUUUUACAUCAAACUGCGACUUAAUUGACUUUCAAAUGUAUAUUUUAAAUAGACAUUUGUGUAAUUCAGGGCACAACUCAAACGGGAUCAAAACAUUUGGAGUCUUUUGCUAUUGACUACUGUAAAUACUCUUUCCAAAGUAAGGUCCCAUGGUGGUCCACAGGAAGGGGAGGGACUUAAGCUCUCUAUGACACCAAACAGAGCCGUGAGUAGUAGAAAAAAACUGUUGAAACCAGAGCGUUCACAACAAGGGAAAAUCUGAAGUUUGAGAUUUCUUUUAAAUACGUUUACCUCAUUAUUUGAAGCUUUGGCCACUUUGGUAAACAUGCAACAUUUGUAACAUUAUAAAUAUGACAGGAAAAAGCAUAACAAGUCACCUUUAAGUAUUACAUCUGUCUUUUCUAGCUUUUUGGAACUUCUGCGUACAUCAAGGUCAAGAACAAACUUUCAUGGUUAAAAUUGACCAAGUAUGAGUGAACAGCUUGUGUCAUAAAAUACACUAGACUGCUGCUGUUCUCUUUUUCUGGAUGCAAAAGGAAAGAAACUAGCGAGCCGUGCUGAACAGAUACCAGACACCAAACUGGUGGAUAAAGGUAUGACUGUUUUUUGACUUAUCAAAAAUGCACCUGCCGUAAAUUUGUCGCUCUGUGAGUAAUCCCAGGUGCUACAACAAUUGUUUCCUCUACAGACAUUUAUCUUGGACACUUACAUUUCCAUGAAUGGCCCGAAAUAUUCCUGCAAUCUGAAAACACUUUUAUGAAUCGGAUUAUUUUGUGGUCGCAGCAAGAGCUCUUAGGAGGAAUUUGCUUUAAAAACAAAAUGAAAUCACAUGAUCAGAUUAAAUCGCCUCCAUGAAAUAAACUUCCACUGACCUGCAGCCUCUUCGCCUUCUUCAUGUCUGCGUCGGCCAUCUGGAUGAACUGUUGGUGCUUGGAGAGCAGGAUGUCGAGCGCCUUUGUUUCCUUGCUGCAUAUUUGCACAGCUUCCUGGUGCUGAAGGGUCUUCUGUUUCAGCUUGUCCAUGUCCUCCAGGUCCAGAGCAGCCUUCUGUCCACACACAGAGGAGACAGGAGACCAGCCUCAGAGACUCAAAUCAGGACACCUGUAUAUCUGACUUCAAAAGGAGAGAGGGAUCUGGCUCUGUGAGAUACCCUGUCUUCAUGAGCGCUCUCGUACGAUGCGAUGCUUUCACGGUACAGUCGGUGGAUUUCACUCAUCACUGUUUUGUGUUGCUGCUCCACCGUGAACGUUGCGUCCUCCAGAUCAGCUCGCUGCUGCUCAGAGUGCAACAAUAUCUGCUUCCUGAAAAACAGACCCCGUUCACGCCAGAGAGAAUAAUGCAGCAAAGCAGGACCCCCGAUGAAUUUGGUGACACCGUGACUUUUCCAAAUGGUCCACCCUUUGUAAGAUGUUCACUGUCAAUUACAUCAGAUCUGCGAGGUGGCUAGACUACUGGUCUUACUGUUGCAGUGCACUGUCUAACAUUGUUAAAGUAGCCAGAAAAAUAAUUUGCACACAAUAGCUUUCUUUGGUAGACAUCUACUGUAUAAUAGACAAGUUUUGCUCAAAGUAUUAUAGCCAGCGCUCACCACCCACUUUUGGAGGAGUUUGUUCUUCUCCCCUCUGGGUGAAGAUGCAGAUUCCCCAGGUUAAAAACCAACACAUAUACAAAUUUUCCUUUUCUGCUGCUCAGAAGCACCCUACAGUGUGUUGAUGCUACCAUUUCGACUGAGUACUUUCAGACGAACAAAUGGAUGAUGUACACGGUAACAGUGUUCUUGUUUGUUCUGUCCCACGUCACAAGUAUGUUUGCUUGUGUUGCUGGUUUUUUU